CACCUUUUGGUUUUGGACUUCUGGUCAGACAAAAGAUAUCAACUUGAAGACAUCACCCUGGAUUUCUGGAAACUGGAAACACCAUGACAGGACUGGAGUUGACUGGGAGGGCCAGCCUGUUGUUCAGAUGUGAGAGUUUACCCAGUUGAUGGUCUUGUCCCUCCUCUCUAAAAGCUUCUUCUGAAGAACCUCCCCGACGCCUCCAGGAGCCCCGAACU